UGUGCAAGGCAGUUUGAAAUACUCCCUCUCCUUAUUUAUUUAUUUAUUUUAUUAUCAUGCUGAUAUUUAUUGAAAACGCAGCCAGACAGGAAAAAGGAGUUCGGGAACAGACGGACGCUUAAAUCAGACGAGACGAUCCACUAAAUACAAGAAAGCAAGGAUAUUCCAAAUGAAGAACACAGGGUUUCAUGGUAGUUCCCAAAGAGAGUAAUGAGUAUCCCCGCUGAGCAGUGUGUUUGCCUUGGCCCCCCGGGAUCAGUAUCAGACAGAUAGACAGUUUACAGAGUUCUCAGCUCUCAGCUCAUCGGU